rnacentral:rRNA from 1 species
UACGGGGGGGGCAAGCGUUGUUCGGAAUUACUGGGCGUAAAGGGCUCGUAGGCGGCCAACUAAGUCAGACGUGAAAUCCCUCGGCUUAACCGGGGAACUGCGUCUGAUACUGGUUGGCUUGAGUGUGGGAGAGGGAUGCGGAAUUCCAGGUGUAGCGGUGAAAUGCGUAGAUAUCUGGAGGAACACCGGUGGCGAAGGCGGCAUCCUGGACCAUUACUGACGCUGAGGAGCGAAAAGCCAGGGGAGCAAAGCGGGG